rnacentral:lncRNA from 1 species
CUCUACAAUACAAUUUGUGUUUCCAAUAUAACUUAGUAUCCAUAUACUAUAGUUGUGUGUGAAACACUAUCAAGCAAGUUGACUCAGUAUUCAUAUACUGUAGUAAGCUUCAAAGAGUAAUACUUACAAUAUUAUAUCAAUUAAAAUAAUAAUAUCCUUAUAUCAUUACUGUUCAACCAUUUGUUUAUUAAGCAUUUACAGGUAAUUCCGCUAUCAACCUGUAUAAAUCGAAAAGAGGCUAUCACCCCCCCUUAUAGCCUCGGAUCACGAUCCAACA